rnacentral:tRNA from 1 species
GGGCCCGUAGCGCAGUCAGGAAAACGCGUGCGGCUUCGGACCGCAAGAUCGGGGGUUCAAAUCCCUCCGGGCUCA